AUUGAACGCUGGCGGCAGGCCUAACACAUGCAAGUCGAGCGGCAGCGGAAAGUAGCUUGCUACUUUGCCGGCGAGCGGCGGACGGGUGAGUAAUGUCUGGGAAACUGCCUGAUGGAGGGGGAUAACUACUGGAAACGGUAGCUAAUACCGCAUGACCUCGAAAGAGCAAAGUGGGGGAUCUUCGGACCUCACGCCAUCGGAUGUGCCCAGAUGGGAUUAGCUAGUAGGUGAGGUAAUGGCUCACCUAGGCGACGAUCCCUAGCUGGUCUGAGAGGAUGACCAGCCACACUGGAACUGAGACACGGUCCAGACUCCUACGGGAGGCAGCAGUGGGGAAUAUUGCACAAUGGGCGCAAGCCUGAUGCAGCCAUGCCGCGUGUGUGAAGAAGGCCUUAGGGUUGUAAAGCACUUUCAGCGAGGAGGAAGGCAUCAUACUUAAUACGUGUGGUGAUUGACGUUACUCGCAGAAGAAGCACCGGCUAACUCCGUGCCAGCAGCCGCGGUAAUACGGAGGGUGCAAGCGUCAAUCGGAAUUACUGGGCGUAAAGCGCACGCAGGCGGUUUUGUUAGUCAGAUGUGAAAUCUCCCGCGCUCACGUGAGAACUUCAUUUGAAACUUCGCAAGCUACACC
rnacentral:rRNA from 1 species